UGAUGCCAGGGUCAAAAGGUCAUAAAACACGUUGUGCUUGCACAUAAGUAGUUUUAUGCCUUUAUGACCCGCCCCGAAAUGAGAAUAACAGCGGGGCGUAUGCUCCGCGAUAUUCGAAUUUGGGGCAGAAUUGUGGAAGUGUGCAGCACGAAACAAUUCUUUCUGCAUCU
rfam:Firmicutes bacterium CAG:646 genomic scaffold, scf107